GUUAUAUUGCCUUAAUUACAAAAAGGACUUUGCAGAUGUGAUUAAGUUAAGGAUCUUGAAAUGGGAAAAUUAUCCUGAUUAGCCAGGCAGGCCCGAUACAAUCUCAAGAGUCAUUUUAAGAGAAGGAUGAGGACAGAAGUCAGAGAGAAGAUGGUGCUGGCUUGGAAGAUGGUGGAGAGGGCCACACACCAAGAAAUGCAGGAAGGAUGCCUCGGCACCACAGUGAGGGGAGAGGGUGAGGAAAAGGGCAGAAAUUCCAGAGGGGACCUCAGGAAUUAGGAGGACCGUGUGUGAACUGAACGACCUUUCAUGGCCUGCAUCUCUCGGGACUGGGCCUGAGCCGCUUUGGGGAACCAGGCCCAAACUCCACCACCAAAAAGGAAAAUACGGUGAGACUGAAAGGUGUGUGGCUGGAGUUUUCUGGACAGGCCCUGUGAAAAUCCCCCCAAGCAGGCCGCUUACCUGAAUUCCACGUGAUGACUGUGUUGUCUGCAGGGAACAGCUUAGAACAUUCUCUCCACCUGGGUUUUCUUGACCUAAGCAGAUGGGAUGGCUUCUGUCUGACUCACCCUAAGCCUGACCUACUUGUGAAAUGCUUUCUGUACAAAAAGCUGGAGGUCACCACAGAGCAUUCUAGAGUUUAUUGAGUGCUUACCAUGAAUUCCAGACACUGUCCAUACAUCUGCUGCUGCUAAGUCGCCUCAGUCGUGUCCAACUCUGUGCGACCCCAUGGACUGCAGCCUACCAGGCUUCUCCGUCCCUGGGAUUCUCCAGGCAAGAACACUGGAGUGGGUUGCCAUUUCCUUCUCCAAUGCAUGAAAGUGAAAAGUGAAAGUGAAGUCGCUCAGGCAUGUCCAACCCUCAGCGAUCCAAUGGACUGCAGCCCUCCAGGCUCCUCCAUCCAUGGGAUUUUCCAGGCAAGAGUACUGGAAUGGAGUGCCAUUGCCUUCAGCAUAGUGCUGAACACACCAUUUCCUCCAUUUUGAAGGGAACUCAGGCCUAUCACGGUGCCUGGCACAUAAAAGACAUUCCUACAUGUUUGGAUCAAUGAAGCAACUUGUUCAAGUCACAGCUCUAGCAAGGGGCAAAGGGACACUCCAGGCCAGGGCUCUCAGCCCAGUGCUGCUGCUUCUAUGUCACCAUCUCUAUCUUCAGUCACUCAAGUGAGGCUGAUUCUCCAAGGAGGCUGGAGUGGGAGUGGGAGGAGCGUGUGGAUUUACGGAUGGGGAAGUGUUAGAUCUUCCUGCAUCCAGAGUUCUUGCAUUGCCAGGUAUGUUCAAAUAAAUAAUGCCCCCCUCCUCCAAUAUAUGUAGGUCUUCAUCCUCACAACUUGUGAAUGUCACCUUCCUUAUAUUCACCUUUGAAUGUCACUUCCCAGGUGGCACCAGUGGUAAAGAAUCCACCUGUCAAUGCAGGAGAUGCAGGUUCCAUCCCUGUGUUGGGAAGAUCCCCUGGAGAAGGAAAUGGCAACCUACUCCAGUAUUCUUGCCGGGAAAGUCCCAUAGGCAGAGGAGCCUGGUGGGCUACAGUCCAUGGGGUCACAAAGAGUUGAACAUGACAGCACACACAGACACACACUGUCAUAAUCCAGAUGCGAUUAAGUUAAAUUUAGCCCAGAUGUGGUUAAGGAUCUCAAGGCAGGAAGAUUAUCUUGGAUUAUCCAGGUGGGCUCCAAACACAAUCACAUGUGUCCUUUGAAGAGGGAGGCAGAGGGAGAUUUGACACACAGAGAAGAGGAGGCGAUGUGAUUGCGGAGGUGAGAGAUUGGAUUGGUGCAGCCACAAGCCCGUGAUUGCCACUGGAAGCUGGAAGAGGCAAGGAAUGGAUUCUUUCCUUCCUCAGAGUCCCUGGAGGGAGAGCCACUCUCCCCAUUCCUUGAUUUCAGCCCAAGGAUACUGAGUUCAGAAUUCUGGUUUCCAGAACCUCGAGAGAAUAAAUUUCCAUUGUUUGAAGAGACCCAGUUUAUGGCGACUUAAUACGGCAGCCACAGGAAACUGAUACACCUGCUUUGGGGGAUGGCUCAGAAACACCUCCGGGUCUGCAGUCCUCUGACCUCUGCCGUCUGGGGGACCAAGAAGGGGUUCCUGUGGCCCCUGUGCCUGAAGCAGAAACAGAGGAGGCCGAGCUGCACCUGUGUCGGUCGGAAAGUUAUUUUGAUGGGGACCGUUUUUAAUA
ensembl:lncRNA